CAGAAAUCAAGACAUAAAUCAGUGCUCGAGGAAAUAGCCCAAACCAAAGAAGUUGGACUAUAAAGUCUGCUUGCAAGCCAGGCUCCAGGAGAAGAAAGACAGAUGACGUUCCCAGCCCAUGAGCACCCAGCUCCACAGCCAACUCCUGGGCCAGGCACAGCACGAUGCCCAGCAGCUGGCACGAGCCUCACCAGAAAGCUGCUCGCUCACACCCAGCUCUGGCGCUGCUGGCUUGGCAUUCAUUUUGCUGCAAAAGGGAAGUUUGGAACACGCAGGAGUACCACCACGUGCCACAACUUUCUGGAAGGAUCCAUCACUAAGUUUUGUCCAAAAGGUCCCAGUUGGUCACAGCGGGAGCACAGCUCCUUCACAGACACGAUGGAGAAAGCGUGAGUUUGGCAAGGGGGAGCAGAGGCCAGAGAUAGUUUGGCACUCACAGGAAAACAGAGGCUUUUGGCAACACAAAGGGACGUUCCUUUAUCUCUAUGCAAAAUUACACUUUGCUUUUUGAGGAAGUGGAUGAGAUAGGAGCUGCUGGUUCCCCACCAACCACUUCGCCAGAUGCACAUUAAAACAUUGAGCAGUGAGAUCUGAUGCUCUGGAAAACUGUAUGCUCCAUUAGCAACACCUUGUUUAGAAAAACUGGGCCAUCUGGACUUCAGAAUAACUGUUUCAAGCUGUUUUCUUAAAGACUGAAGGAAGACAACACGAGAUUUAUUUGUACUCUGCAAGCAACUGUCCCCACAUUUAACAUCCCUGUUUUAAGCAAGCAGAAAAUGUGCAGCCCGAGCCUGCAGCAGAGCAACCUGCAUGGCAGCUCUGCAUUGGCAAACGCAAAGGGCUCAGAACAUGGCGAUGCUCACACAGAUAACAGAACUGCACUUUGUACAAACUCAGUGAGCUGAAUGCUGAUAGUAAAUUCCCUGGGGCUCAACCCCAGCUGCAGUUGAACUAACCUUGCACAACCUUAUUCCUAUAUUCAACUCUGAUAACUAUCCAGAAGACAAAACCACUCCUUAUAAAGAACUAACAUCAGAACUCAAGAACUUCAGCCCACUGAUGUCUCCUUAAUGUUGGUCAUCUCUCCUUCCCAGCUCCGGCCUUGAGAAGCUGCCCUCUGCCAGCACCUGAGCUAGCAUCAAGGUAUCUCUGCUGUAAAGCAUGUGGGGAUGGAGGGCAAAAAACAGCGUCCAACACCUACACGUAAGGGGAAAGGGGAAGACAAGCGUUCUUCUAUGGAGACGAAAAUGAGGUAACUUCACAAGAGAAAUAAAACUUAACGGGGUGUUGUUUCAGUGGUGACCAUGACCACCUCAAAACCACUUCCACUCUUCUUCCCUCCCCAUCUUCCUUGAUGCACAGUUCAGGAAAUCUGGGCAUCUCCAGACAUGUGCUUCCAGUGCUUAGGAGACCAAUCUCAUCCAAAGACACAUUCAGAAGCCCAUGACAGAAGUUUUAUAUCCCUUGACAAUGAUUUCAGAGUUCCUUCUUUUGACGAAUAGCAGCGAAGAGCAAGGGAAAGUAGUCAGCAAUUUAUAAUUACCACCAGGAUAAAACAACACAACAACAACAAAGGCGCUGAUGUAAUCAAGUUCUUACCCUGUGCAACAGAAAAGACAGCAAUUUGAGGUUAACACGAGUGGCGUUUUGCCAGUUUCCUACCGUCCCUGGUUCUCACCUUGCAAACCAGCUGAACAGUAGCAGCUUCUUGUUUAAAAAA
rnacentral:lncRNA from 1 species